rnacentral:rRNA from 1 species
GACGAACGCUGGCGGCGUGCUUAACACAUGCAAGUCGAACGAAGUGGCGAAAGGGGGAGUAAUACGGGAGAAACCUGCCCUCCUUUUAGGGAUAAGACUUGGAAACGGGGUCUAAAACCGGCUAACGGGGGAGGGGCUAGCGGCCUAUCAGCUUGUUGGUGGGUUGAGGGCCUAACAAGGCGGUGACGGGUAGCCUGCCUGAGAGGGUGGCCCGCCACAUUGGGACUGGGAUACGGCCCAGCCUCCUACGGGGGGCAGCAGUGGGGGAUAUUGCACAAUGGGCGAAAGCCUGAUGCAGCGACGCCGGGUGGGUGAAGAGGGUUUUCGGGUCGUAAAGCUCUGGUGUUAGGGAAGCGGUAACUAACCAGAAAGGGACGGCUAACUACGUGCCAGCAGCCGCGGUAAUUC